AUGCCUGGGAAGGCAAGAUGGAGGUUUCAGGGUGGCCAUGAGCCCUCAUGGCGGCUGCAGCUCCUCACAGGGAGCGGAGGGGCAGCGCUGAGCUCUGCUAGUGGAUGAAUGCAGCCUUCAUCAGGUUUCUUGUCUGAAGCCUCACAAGAAAUACAUUUCAAAAUGAAAGUCUACAGUAUUUUGCAUUUAUUCAGGAAAAACUACUUAGGAGUCUUACGAAAGCCUAGAUUCCUGUGGCCAAGACACCCAACCUAGGAAGGUGGAAACACUGCGACUCUGUGACAUGGCUCCAUACAGCAUAUGAAGGCUGAACAGCUCCAGCUCUCUUAUCCUGUCCAUCCCUUGGAUCAUAUUUGUGGCCCUCCUCUGGAUGUGCUCCAACAGGUCCAUGUCUCUCCUGUACUGAAUACUCCACAUCUGGAUACAGUUCUCCAGGUGAAUUCUCACCAGUGCAGAGUAGAGGGGGAGGAUCACCUCCUUCAACCUGCUGGCCGCACUUCUACACACUCUGCUUAACCCACAGUGGGACUCAUAAGUGUGAGAUCGUAUGGAACUUCGGCGGCUUCUAAUUAAAUCACUUCUGAAAUUAGCCCUGCCCUGGAUGGACAUCAGCAAGAAGGCUUGCUGCUCGUGGAGAAAUGGUGGCACAAGCAACCGGGGGCGCAGAGCAAGCCGUGAACCAGUGUGGAGCUCAGUCCAUUCAGCCUGGCAACACUCUCCAUAUUGCCAGAGGUUCAAUCGCGUGGGAGGAGGAGACGACACGACCCAGCAGCCGUGCCCGCUGGAAAGCCGUGGUGUGCCCCAAGUGCAAGAAUAUCUGUGCUGGCUGCAUGUGCACAAAGGGCUGCAUUUGCAUAAAACCAGCGCCAAGCCGGAGUGAAAACAAUGGGAGAGUGUGUAGGUAGGCACCUACCCAGCACCCGGCUCUGCCUGCUGGAGAGGGUUUGGUUUCACGGCAGGAGCACAAAUAAAGCGUGAUGC
ensembl:lncRNA